rnacentral:tRNA from 1 species
GCCGACUUAGCUCAGGGGUAGAGCAGUUCCCUCGUAAAGAACAGGUCCGGGGUUCGAAUCCCCGAGUCGGCUCCA